CGACAGAGGGGCCAGCGGACCCCAGCCCCUCACAACCGAUCGCAGAGCUGCGCGGCUCUAAGGCGCAUGGAAUGCCCGGGGGAUGAAUAGACUGUGGUGUCACCUCCGCCUCGCGCAUUUGGCCCAUCCGGCCCGCUCGGUACACUGGCUGGUGAGGCCUUCAUUUCCCCCUAAGGAUCCGAGAAGUUUAAACAGAGGCCAAUUUUCCUCUCCCUUGGUCCUCAAGGUCCUGCCAGAUCACGGUGAGAUGGGCACAGCAGGUACGGUUGGCAACCACAGCCGUGAGUGAACGAGUUUCUCAUCGUCGUCCCCGCCCCCCGCAGUGUGACCCAAAAAGCAACGUCCCCUCUCUCCUCAGGGAGAGAGGCACCCGCCCAUCCGGCCGAAGUGGAGCAGAAGGAUCCUCUUUUCCUUGUCCGCGGUCGACUGAGUCUUUCCUGCACCCGGAGGCCCGUAAGGCUUUGGCCCACUCGCGGCCUGGGCCCGCCGGGAAGAAGCGGACUGGGGAUGGCAACUGAGCGGAGGGCUGCUCUAGGCACCUGCCGGCCGCUUUGGAGGCCUGUCCUCAGAGUCACUUUCGGGCUUCUCACGGGAUCCUGGAGCUUUCCACAGGUCUUCGGUUUGUCUUUUCGAGAAAGCCAGCGCCGCGAUGUCUAAACCGGCUGCCGGCCGGUGCGCACCGCCCCCGCCCCCAAACGGGUGUCCCUUCCGCGUGAGGGCCCCGGGCAGCUUUCCAGGCGGGAACCCCAGUAUCUCACAACCUGGGAAAGACCGGCCUCCUUUUUCGGAGCUCUCGCGACUCCCAGCAACAUCGGUAGCUAACGGUUCCAGAGCCUCCGGCUCGGGGCGGACUUCGCGGCCGAGUAAAAGGCGCUUUGAGUAGGGCUCCGCCGGCGCCGGGGGCUGGAACCGCGGGAGAUGAGGGCUGGCGGGUGAGUGCCCGCGUGAGGACGACCGGGAUGGUGUUUUCCGCUGGCGGACAGGUGGGACAGUCCGGGUGGGACUGCGGUUAGGUCUUCAGGGAGCAGCUCAGAAUUAGAGAAACUGGUAACAUUACAGGAAUUACUUUAAAGCACACAACAGCAAAAAUGCAGUGAAUUAAUGAACAUCAGAUACCAGUUAACGCAACGGGAUUGGCGGCGUCUUGAAGCGCUGGGACGCAGGGCGCUCCUGGACAGUGGGUUAAGGAUCCGGUGUUGCCGAAGCUCCGGCUUAGGUCACAACUGCAGCUUGGGAUCCAUAUGCCGCGGCGGCGGCCGAAAAAAAUGAAAACAAAACAAAAACCCCAGUUAACUCAGCAAUUAAUUUAAGAAAAUGCUGAACAUGAUAUUAGCAAAAGAUCUAACAGUACUAUUGAUGGUGGCUAAUACUAACAUAGCUUACGAUGUGCCAGGCACUGUUCUAAACCUUACAUUUGGUCACUUAUAUAAUGAAACUUGAUGAAGUAGAUACCAUUUCACCACCGUUUUACAGAUGGGGGACCUGAGGCGAAGAGAAAAUAAGUGCAUUAGCCAAGAUCGUAUAACUAGUAAUUGGCAGAGCAAGGAUUUAUACCCAGACAUUCUGCUCUUAAACUCUGCUCUCUGUCUUUCAUUGAUAACUGGAUUUUAUCAGUUUAGGAAUUGUGCUAUCCAGAAGGAAGGGUAAGUCUGUACAGAGACAUGUUAUUAUAGCAGUGUUCUGAAUCUCAUCAGAUUUGUUGUCAAUCUCCUUUAGACAAAGGGACUUAAGGAAGAGUGCCUUCCACAAAGAGGUGUUUUGUUUUUUGGGUUUUUUCGCAUUUUAGGGCUGCACCCGCAGCAUAUGAAGGUUCCCAGGCUACAGGUUGAAUUGGAGCUGCAGCUGCCAGCUUACACCAUAGCCACAGCAACUUAGGAUCCAAGCCAAGUCUGCGAUCUACACCACAGCUCAAGGCAAUGCCAGAUCCUUAACUCACUGAACUAACUAACUCCAGGGAAGGAACGGGUAUCCUCAUGGAUACUUGUUGCGUUCAUUACCCCUGAGCCAGGAUGGGAACUCCCCACAGAAAGUUUUAAGGAGAAAAGAAUACAGAUUUUCAUUUAACAAGUUAAUUAGGCCCAUACACAAUUUCGAAGAUCCUUCUCCCAUUGCUUUUCUAUCUAGAUUCUUCUGUUCUUAUUUUGUUUUUAUUAGGUUAAAUCAUUUGAAAUCGAUGACAUUUGUGAGGUACGAAAAUGGCAAUUUCUUUUUUUUUUUUGCUUUUAUAGGACCACACUUGCAGCACAUGGAGGCCCCCAGGCCAGGGGUCAUAUAGGAGCCACAGCCACUGACCAACACCUCAGCAACCCCAGAUCCCUAACCCACUGAGUGAGGCCAAGGAUGGACCUGAAACCCCAUGGUCCCUAGUUGGAUUCAUCUCUGCUGUGCCACAACAGAAACUCCUGUUUAACCCAAUAUUUACACAUCUUUUUGUGUGAGAAUUUAGGAGUCUACAACAAUUUUUUAGCAAAUUGUUCUGGCUUUAUCUCCAAAAUACACCCUGAAUCUGUUUAUUUCUCUUCAUGUCCAUUUUGGACCUGUGGUUGGCGCCACCAUCUACUCUCAUUUGGAUUACUGUCAUAGCUUCUUGACCAGUCUCCUUGCUUCUGCUCUUUUCUCACUCUUGCUUUCCUAAGGGCCAGAAGGAUCUUUGAUAAAACAAAAAUCAGAAAGUUCCUGUUGUGGCUAAGAGGUAGUGACCCAACUAAUAUCCAUGAGGAUGCAGGUUCAAUCCCUGGCCUCUCUCAGUGGGUUAAGGAUCCUGUGUUGCUGUGGCUGUGGUGGAGGCUGGCAGCUGUAGCUCCUAGUCAGCCCCUAGCCAGGGGACUUCCAUAAGCCAAAGUGUGGCCCUAAAAAUCACAUACACACAAAGAAAAUCAUAUCAUGUCCUUCCUUUCAAUGGUGCCCCAUCAUGUUUAGAAAACAUAUCCUGGCCCUUGCUUACUUCUCUAGUCUAAUUUUAUAUCACAUUCCUCUUAAUCCAGUACUUUAGGCCCAAUGACCUUCUUUCAUUUCCUGUAAACACAUAAGAUUCACUCCUACUGUGAAGACUGCAUUAGCUAUUCUCUUUGACUGGCAAGGUCUUCUGCAGAACUUCCCAAGACUGGACAUUUAUAUUUCAGUUAGAAUGUCAUCCCUCCAGAAAAGCUUUUCCUGUUACUUGUACUAUUCAUUCAGUCACUCUAUUUCAUUUCACAUCAUUGUUUAUAUUCCAUAUACCACUACUACUAUUUGAUAUUUGUCUCCUUUUACUGUAAUAUAGGCUUAUAAAAGCAGGAAGCUUAUUUUUCUUGUUAUAUCCUGCUACAUCCAGUACCUAGAGUACGAGCUUGGCCUAUAGCAUGCACGAGUAAAUAUGUGUUGAAUUGAUGAAGAAGAAGAAAUAGGUAAAAAGUCCUUGGCACCACAGAACUUAGUCCCACAGAAUUGAGGUGGUUUGGAAUACAGUGAAUGGAACCUACCUAAAGAAUGAGGAAGAUCUUGAUCAGUACUUUCCAAUAAAUAGGAAUGUAAUGUGACCCACCUAUGUAAUUUUAUGUUUUCUAGUAGCCACAUUAAAAAUGUAAAAUGACAGGGGAAAUUAAUUUGAAUAUAUUUUAUUUAAAUCAGUAUAUCCAAAAUAUUAUUUUGAAAUCUAAUAUAAACUUAUUAAUAAAAUACUUUACAUUCCUUUUUUUUCACACUGAGCCAGUGUGUUUAUACUUAUUGCACAUCUUGAUUCAGUUAUUAAAUUUUCAUUGGAGGAGUUCCCGUUGUAGCUCAGCGGUAACACCUGACUAGUAUCCAUGAGGAUGCGGGUUCAAUCUCUGGCCUACUCAGUGGGUUAAGGAUCCAGUGUUGCAGACACAGCUUGGAUCUGGCACUGCUGUGGCUGUGGCAUAGGCUGGUGGCUACAGCUCCAAUUCAACACCUAGCCUAGGAACUUCAUAUGCUGCUGGUGUGGCCCUAAAAAGCAAAAAAAAUUUUUUUUCUCACUGGAAAUACUUGAUCUAUAUUGAGAUUACAUAAAAUUUAAAAUGGAAAAGCAGAGGCCUAUACCCAAGUUACUCCAGAUGUACUUAAGGUUUUUUGCAAUACUGAAUUGAGAAUCAGUUUUAAAUUUAAAUUAAAAAUGGAAAAAAAAUAGAUCUUCAGUUGCAUAGCCACAUGUACUUAGCGGCUAAUGUAUCAGACAGUGCAGAUCGAGAUCAAGGAUAAAGUGUCUAUUUGUGGUUGGGUCAAGGACAAAGUAGAGGGUAGCACCAGAAGUAUGGUAUGGAGGGAUGACAAAAGUCUAGAAAAGUACAGUGUAAGCUCUUUAUGCAAGUAGCAUUUGAGGACAAUUCCUCUGGUUCUCAAAAGUGAGGUAUGGCUUUGGAGUUCCCGUCGUGGCUCAGUGGUUAAUGAAUCCGACUAGGAACCAGGAGUUUGCGGGUUCAAUCCCUGACCUUGCUCAGCAGGUUAGGGAUCCGGCGUUGCCGUGAGCUGUGGUGUAGGUUGCAGCUGCGGCUCGGAUCCCACGUUGCUGUGACUCUGGCGUAGGCCAGUGGCUACAGCUCUGAUUAGACCCCUAGCCUGGGAACCUCCAUAUGCUGCGGGAGUGGUCCUAGAAAAGGCAAAAAGACAAACAAAAAAAACCCCAAAAAACAAGUGAGAUAUGGCUUCCUAAAGUAGACUACUUCCUUAGCAUGACUGCUGCAUAGAUUUUAGGUACUCUGGGAAUCGUUUUGUGAGGGAGUAAAAGGUCCUGCAGUGCUGGUCAUAUAUAACACUUCCAAGUAAAAUCUUGUAACAUAUGAUGUGGAACAGUCAUGGAAAUCAGAUUAUUUUCCUAGAGAGCAGUGGUUCUCAAGUGGGCUGGGGUCAGGGGUGGGGGGUUUGCCCCUCAGGAGCAUUUGUACUUCUUGAGAAAUUUUGCUUGUUACAAGUUGGCGAUGCUGGUGGCAUCUAGGGAGCAGAGGUCAGGAAUAUGGCAAAACAUCCCACAAUGCAGAGGACAGCCCCCAACAACAAGGAAUUGUCUGCCUGACAAUGUCAAUAAAACCACGGUUGAGAAACGUUGCUCUAGAGGAUUUGAGUAAGAAAGACAGAGAACUAUUCUCUUAGAACCUUGGUCUAACUGCCUUGUGAUAUUCCUAAGGGGAGAACAAGUUGUUUUGAAGCAUUUCAGUUUCUAGUGUGUUUUCACUGUUGAUGGACUCUGAUUAGACUAAGAAGAAAUAAUAUUCAGGAUGAGAUUGUGGACUCAAUAAAGAUAACAAAUAAUACUGCUAUGCAUGUGAGACUCAACAUGCUUCGGAUAAGCUGAUCUAUUUACCUAUGUAUGGCUUGUGGCACAUGACCUACGGUCUCAAAUAUAAUUGAUGUAC